rnacentral:sRNA from 1 species
UCCUUUCUUCCUUCCUUCCUUCCAAAAGAGAGAAGUUCCACCUAGUAGUUAAGCCAGACCUUAAAUUUGUUCUAAAGACCAGGAAGGUCUUUUAUUUGCAAAUUUUCUGCUUCAUUCUCCGUAAGAAUUUGUACUAUAGCUUUUUACCUAAAGAUGCUGCUGUCAUUCAACAACUGAACAUCAAAAGCUUCUGGAGAAACUAGUCAUCUCUUGCAAACAUAUGAAGCUACUGAUACUAUGACUUAGUUUAUUAUCUAAUUGAGUUGUUAGCCAAAGCAGUCCCCUUGAAAUCCCCAAAUAACCGUAUCAUUGACAAGGCCCAUUGCUGAUGACAGUACCUACACAACCCAUUUUACAUGGAGAAGGCAACUGGUAACCACAUACAUGCUACAUGCUAGCUAUCUUUGCUAUAAGGGAAUACUCUGUAGGUUUCCAAAAGAGAAACAUAAACAACAGGCCAUUCACAACCCCUUUCAUAUCAAUAGUUCCUUGACUGCAAGACAUGCUAGAAAAGCAGAGAUACAAAGUUUAUGGGGAGAAACCAACUAAUACCUGAUUUGACUUAAGACCCACUCCACAAGAUGGAAGCCAUAACAAAACACUGCUUUGAUGCUCAAGAACCAGAGACUGGUACCUAGGCCAUAAUCAAAUACUACUGAUCAGUGCCUCCUCGUUCAGCCUCAUCAGAGUAGCUUCCUCUUGCAGGAGAUGGGAACAAAUACAGAGACCUACUCUACAGCCAGACACUAUGUAGAGAGCAAGGGUCCUGAGAACAAUAGCCUGAAAUGGAUGUCUCUGUCUAAUCUCUCUUUUCUGGAUUCAGGGAAUCCCUCAGAAGAGGAGACAGAAAAACUGGAAGAGUCAGAGUGGAGGACAGCAGAAAAACAAGGCCCUCUAAAUAAACAUGAUCAAAGCCCAUACGGACCCGAGAGACUGAAGCAGCAUUCAUGGACCCAGCACAGGUCUGUACCAGGCCCUCUGCAUAUUAUGGCAUCCAGUUUAGUGUUUUUAUGGAAUUUUUGGGUGUGGUAAUAAAAGAAACUCUGAUUCUUGUGUGUACUUUUCAGUUCUUUCAUUUCUAUUUGUCUUAUCCAACUUCGAUGUGAUUGUUUUUGUUUUAUCUUGAUUUAUUUGAUUAUAUUUUAUUAGUAGCCUUAGACGCUGUUUGUUUUCUAAUGAGUGACAAAAGGGAGUAGAUAAAGAUGGGUGUAAUGAGAAGUUAGGCUGA